GACGUAGGAUGCGAGCGUUGUUCGGAUUUAUUGGGCGUAAAGCGUACGUAGGCGGCUUGUUAAGUCUGGUGUUAAAGCUAGGGGCUCAACCCCUGUGUUGCACUGGAAACUGGCAGGCUUGAGUGUGGUAGGGGAAGGUGGAAUUCCGAGUGUAGCGGUGAAAUGCGUAGAUAUUCGGAAGAACACCGGUGGCGAAAGCGACCUUCUGGGCCAUUACUGACGCUGAGGUACGAAAGCUUGGGGAACGAACGGG
rnacentral:rRNA from 1 species